AGCGUUUCCAGGUUGUCUCGUUUAUGCCCAUCGAGAUGAAAUUUGUGUUUCUGAAGUCCGAUCAUUCUUUACAUGUUGUCAAUACUUCCUGUAGUUGUCAUUGGCCGUGUAUGGUUUGUCAUCUUGUAAUUAUUCUGCUGAAUAUUCUGUGACAUUUUCCCGUUCUUCAAUCUUUUGAUACAAGAUCCGAGAUUCAAUUCUCAUCAACUUCAUCAUGUUAACACUUUGGAUGCUAUGCUUUUCUUUCUCCUUUUAGGAUUAAGAUUAAGAAGUAGUCAGUAAUGUAUUUCUGUUUUAUUGUUUUAUUAGAAAUUGGAUUUGAUACAAAUAUGAUAUUGAAUGUGCAUUGUUGCAGUGACGAGAAGCUAACAUGUAAGAAGGGCUGCUUUUGUAGCGGCAUCUUCUAUGAAAUAUAUUUGUUACGCUUGGCUUCUGAGCACAAAUUUUCAUUUUCUACCAUGUUAAGACUGUUUUCAUGUAAGGAGGUGACUUCUAUUGUGUAUUUCUGAUGAAAUCUAUUUCUUACGGUUGGCUUCAUCUGUUUUACCCAAAUCUUCCUAAUGUGGCAUAAUGUGAAACUUCUAUUAGCAGAAAUUUAAUGGAAUGACUUGGGGUGGGCAAACAUUUUAGUUGAACCUUGUUUUGUGAUGAUGAGCUGCUAACAUGUUAGAAGGGGUCACUUUUGUAGUGGCGUCUUCAAUGAGAUAUAUUUGUUACGCUUGGCUUCUGAGCAUUAUUCUCAUCUUGGCUGUAAGCAGCUUCUAUCUUUUAAUGGUUUUGCGUGAUUGAUGUAUCCCUGAUUAUAUUCCUUAGAGCUUUGUUGUUGGAAGUUUUUCUCAUCAUCCCAUUGUCGCACUAACUCUCCUCUUGGCCGAAAACAACUUUUACUCUUACUGUGAUGAUGAGCUGCUAACAUGUAAGAAGAGGUCACUUUUGUAGUGGCCUCUUCAAUGAGAUAUAUUUGUUACGCUUGGCUUCUGAGCAUUAUUCUCAUCUUGGCUGUAAGCAGCUUCUAUCUUUUAAUGGUUUUGCUUGCUUGAUGUAUCUCUAAUUAUAUUCCUUAGAGCAUUGUUGAAGUUUUUCUCAUCAUCCCAUUGUUGAAGUUUUUCUCAUCAUCCCAUUGUUGCACUAGUUCAUCUCUUGGCCGAUAACAACUUUUACUCUCACUGUGAUGAUGAGCUGCUAACAUGUAAGAAGAGGUCACUUUUGUAGUGGCCUCUUCAGUGAAAUCUAUUUGUUACGCUUGGCUUCUGAGCAUUAAUUCUCCUUUUGGCCGAAAACAACCUCUACCUUUUAUUUGUUUUGCUUGAUUGGAUCUCUGAUUAUGUUCCCUAACGCUUGCUUGAUGUAAUUUGCCAUAACUUCCUGUAGCAUUAUAUCAAACUUAAACUGUUACUGCAAUGAUGAGCUGCUAACAUGUAAGAAGGUGUUGCUUUUGUAGUGGCAUCUUCAGUGAAAUCUUUUUGUUACGCUUGGCUUCUGAGCAAUAAAUUAUCAAAUG